rnacentral:tRNA from 1 species
GGGGUUUUGGCUCAGUGGUAGAGCGUCCGCUUUGCAUGCGGAAGGCCCGGGGUUCGAUCCCCCGAAGCUCCA